CCCUUAGAUGUUCUGGGCUGCACGCGUGCUACACUGACAUUGCCAAUAUGUCAUUCUUAUCCGAAAUGGAUUGGGUAAUCAAGUAAUGAAAUUUCAUGCUUGGAAUCGGUAAUUGCAAUUUUAUCGUGAACGAGGAAUUCCUAGUAAGCACUAGUCAUCAGCUAAUGCUGAUUAUGUCCCUGCCCUUUGUACACACCGCCCGUCGCUACUACUGAUUGGGUGUUCAAGUGAGAUGCUUAGACCCUUGUUGCAUGGUUCAUUAUUGUGCUCCGAAAGGAAAAAGUUUCAAGCUUGAGUGUCUAGAGGAAGUAAAAGUCGUAACA
rnacentral:rRNA from 1 species